UACGAGGGGGGCGAGCGUUGUUCGGAAUUAUUGGGCGUAAAGGGUGCGUAGGCGGUUCCGCAAGUCCUGUGUGAAAGCCCGGGGCUCAACCCCGGAACUGCCUUUGAAACUAGGUAGCUAGAAUCUUGGAGAGGUCAGUGGAAUUCCGAGUGUAGAGGUGAAAUUCGUAGAUAUUCGGAAGAACACCAGUGGCGAAGGCGACUGACUGGACAAGUAUUGACGCUGAGGUGCGAAAGCGUGGGGAGCAAACAGG
rnacentral:rRNA from 1 species